CUAAUAUGAUGACCAUACGGUUUACAUAUCUUCCUGAGGUUUCUACGGACACCGUUGAAGAUAAUAACUCAAAAAAUUCGAUUUGCACGUCAGUCUGAUUCU
rnacentral:sRNA from 1 species